rnacentral:Y_RNA from 1 species
CAGGCAAAUGCCGGAGGAAUUACAGCCUACUAAGCUCGAGGUCGCGGGUUCGAAUCCCGCUUCUGCCGCCAACGAUGGCAGAGUAGCUCAGAGGAUAGAGCGCGUAACAAUUUCUCCACCUCUAGUUGCCGAAGU